UUUUGUAUUUGAAUGCGCAUGUGUGCGUCCUUUUAAAACUCUUUCCAUUUGUACAAUGACAGAUUUCAGAUUGGAGUUAAUCUGAGCAUGCCCUGGCGUUUGGAAUUAAUCCCUUCAUUGCCUUGAUGAGUCAACCCAUCGUGACUAUGACUGUGGUUGACAACCAAGGACUGGGGCUUCCUGUUGACAUUCAGCACAAAGCAAAGCCCUUGACAAAAGCCAGCCAGAUGCUGCCACCUGAUCUUGGAACUCCCAGCUUCCAGAACUUAUUAAGUCCAUCUGAGAAACUAGAGCCUUGGGACCCAGGGAUGAGGAAACUUACUGUACAGACAUGCAGGCUGACCUUCGCCCUGCGGGCCAUGGCCUCUGCCACGCAACUGCACAAGCUUCAGCCUGAAACUCUCUCCGGCGCUGCCCUAAACAGACCAAGUGUGAGGGAGGGAGCAUGUAAUGAAAGGUCCGCAGAGAACAAGAAGCCACAAGAUUCAGUGCUCUGAAGCCAUGCUAGAUGGUUUCAGGGGAACUAGCUUCCCACCUCUGAUAGGGAUACCAUGGCAAAUAGCACACUUUGCCUAAGAUUAUAAUUCUUUGUGCACAACGCAUCCCAUCUCAAAGACAGUCCACAGCAGGACUUGCUCCAUCUCUGAACUGCUCUUACCCCCUUAAACCUGCCUUUAUAUCUAGGAGUUUCUUUAUUUUAUUUUAUUUUUUUGAGACAGAGUCUCGCUCCAUUGCCCAGGCUGGAGUGCAGUGGCGUGAUCUCAGCUCACUGCAACCUCCACCUCCUGGGUUCAAGCGAUUCUUGUGCCUCAGCCUCCCAAGUAGCUGGGAUUAAAGGCACGUGCCACCAUGCCUGGCUAAUUUUUGUAUUUUUAGUAGAGAUGAGGUUUCACCAUGUUGGCCAGGCUGGUCUCAAACUCUUGACCUCAAGUGAUCCGCCCGCCUCAGCCUCCCAAAGUGCUGAGAUUACAGGUGUGAGCCACCAGGCCCGGCCUAUAUCUAGGAGUCUCUUGAUGAGCUUUGGUCAACAGAAAGAAGUCUCUUCUAAAAAUUGUUAAUGCUUUUAUAGACUACUCAUGGUCUAAGUUAUAAAACAUCAUUUGCCUUUCAAUUUAUACCUUCCAAGUGAAUGAUGAUUAUUGAGGAUUAUCUAAUUAUUAUCUACUUUUCUCUCUAGGUAUAAAAAACACCAUAGAUCCUAUACACACAAAAAUGGUUUUUCUAUCAGAAAUGGACUCACUCAUCUGGCAAAAGGACACAGAUUAGAUUAUUCUAAUCUCAAGGUCCCUUAGGCUUAUGAAUUCAAAAAAAAGUAGAAGAAAUGAACAAAAACAUAAAUCACAGUUUAAGUUAUUAAGUAAUAUCUGAAAUGAAUUAGAAAGAAACGAUAAGCCUUAACAAUACUCCAAUCACGGUUAAAUUAAUUUAGACAGAAAAGCAAAUAGCAACUGACUUGAAAAUAAGAAGUGGGGCCCAAGGUGGAUACAAGAAAGCCAGGAGGGCUAAGAUAAAUCCCAAAUCCAAUGUUCAUCAAUGCCUACACACUCAGUACAACCUGAUGGCAUUAAUUUUGUGGUUAGGGAAAUGUGAAAGCGAAAUCGAUAAUACCACAGUUCUAAAUGUGCACUGUUGGCUGAAUUUAUGGUGUGGUGGGGGGUGGUAAAAAUUAGGCUUCUAAGAAAGGAUGGAAUUCUGCCCUCCAGGCAAGGAGUAAAUGGUCCCAGCAGAUGGAACACUAAAGCAAAUGUAAUCACCUGCAUUUUGCAAAUAGGUGUGUUUCUGAGAAUUUGUUUGAAUUAGUUCUUUGUAAAUAAAACAGGAUUUUGAAUGCA
rnacentral:sRNA from 1 species